rnacentral:snoRNA from 1 species
CCGCAAGCCUUCCAGCGUGGCGGGACCUGCGGUGGCCCCGACCAUUCCUGCAGCGCUUGCCAGAACAACCCCAAAAGCUCCGGGGCCUCCCCCUGCACCCCCUGGGGGAGGCCGUGGGGGGUCUUGGACACAC